rnacentral:rRNA from 1 species
CCUACGGGUGGCUGCAGUGAGGAAUAUUGGUCAAUGGACGCAAGUCUGAACCAGCCAUGCCGCGUGAAGGAAGAAGGCUCUAUGAGUUGUAAACUGCUUUUGUACGAGGGUAAACGCAGAUACGUGUCUCUGUCUGAAUGUAUCGUAAGAAUAAGGAUCGGCUAACUCCGUGCCAGCAGCCGCGGUAAUACGGAGGAUUCAAGCGUUAUCCGGAUUUAUUGGGUUUAAAGGGUGCGUAGGCGGUCGGAUAAGUUAGAGGUGAAAUCCCGAGGCUCAACCUCGGAAUUGCCUCGGAUACUGGUCGGCUAGAGUGUAGUUGCGGUAGGCGGAAUGUGUGGUGUAGCGGUGAAAUGCUUAGAGAUCAUACAGAACACCGAUUGCGAAGGCAGCUUGCCGAGCUACUUCUGACGUUGAGGCACGAAAGCGUGGGUAGCAAACAGGAUUAGAUACCCCAGUAGUC